AGCAGCCGCGGUAAUUCCAGCUCCAAUAGCGUAUAUUAAAGUUGUUGCAGUUAAAAAGCUCGUAGUUGAAUUUCGGGAUCAGUGGGUCGGUCGUGCCACUGGUAUGCACUGGCUCUACUGGUUCCUCCUUCUUGAAGAACUGUAAUGCCAUUAAUUUGGUGUUGCAGGGAAACAGGACUGUUACUUUGAAAAAUUAGAGUGUUUAAAGCAGGCAAUCGCUUGAAUACAUUAGCAUGGAAUAAUGAAAUAGGACGUUCGAUCCUAUUUUGUUGGUUUCUAGGAUUGACGUAAUGAUUAAUAGGGAUAGUUGGGGGCAUUAGUAUUCAAUUGUCAGAGGUGAAAUUCUUGGAUUUAUUGAAGACUAACUACUGCGAAAGCAUUUGCCAAGGAUGUUUUCAUUAAUCAAGAACGAAAGUUAGGGGAUCGAAGACGAUCAGAUACCGUCGUAGUCUUAACCGA
rnacentral:rRNA from 1 species